AGAGAAGCUCAUUGUUUCAUAAAGCACUUUCGCAUUUUAAGGUGCUCAACUCAGUAACCUGGACGUCUUCCCUGAUUCUUCCCCGGAACUUCAUGAACACAGCAUCAAUUCUACCCCAAUAGAUGUGAAGUCCAUCUGCCCUUUGUCAUCUGCACCCUCACAACCGUCAGCUCCCAGCUCCACCUGUUGCAGUCGCCUCCUAACAGGUCUCUCCACUUCACCUCUUGCCCUUCUCACAUCCCUUUUCAUCAGAACAGCUCCAGUGAACUAUCGCACGUGACACCUCCACUCAAUCUCCCUGGAGCCUCAGAUGCCACUCAGCAUGAAAGUGCUCCCAGCUGUCUUGAGUGACUGGCAGUUAUCUAACCUGAUCCCAUGGACACGUGACAGGUGUUUUGGCUCCAGCAGACUCCUUCUGGCACUCAUGGGAUUGUUGCCUUGCAGGGCUGCCCCAGCAGGGACAUUCCUCCUGCCUG
rnacentral:lncRNA from 1 species